UACGUAGGGUGCGAGCGUUGUCCGGAAUUAUUGGGCGUAAAGAGCUUGUAGGCGGUUUGUCGCGUCUGCUGUGAAAAUCCGGGGCUCAACCCCGGACUUGCAGUGGGUACGGGCAGACUAGAGUGUGGUAGGGGAGACUGGAAUUCCUGGUGUAGCGGUGAAAUGCGCAGAUAUCAGGAGGAACACCGAUGGCGAGCAGGCAGUCUCGGUCGGCACUACUGACGCUGAGAAGCGAAAGCAUGGGGAGCGAACAGG
rnacentral:rRNA from 1 species